UGGACCCUACGGGACGCAGCAGUGGGGAAUAUUGCACAAUGGGGGAAACCCUGAUGCAGCGAUGCCGCGUGGAGGAAGAAGGUUUUCGGAUUGUAAACUCCUUUUAUCAGGGACGAUAAUGACGGUACCUGAAGAAAAAGCAUCGGCUAACUCCGUGCCAGCAGCCGCGGUAAUACGGAGGAUGCGAGCGUUAUCCGGAUUUAUUGAGUUUAAAGGGUGCGUAGGCGGGAUGCCAAGUCAGCGGUAAAAAUGCGGUGCUCAACGCCGUCGAGCCGUUGAAACUGGCGUUCUUGAGUGGGCGAGAA
rnacentral:rRNA from 1 species